rnacentral:rRNA from 1 species
UACGUAGGGCGCAAGCGUUGUCCGGAAUUAUUGGGCGUAAAGAGCUCGUAGGCGGCUUGUCACGUCGGGUGUGAAAGCCCGGGGCUUAACCCCCGGGUCUGCAUUCGAUACGGGCAGGCGUAGAGUGUGGUAGGGGAGAUCGGAAUUCCUGGUGUAGCGGUGAAAUGCGCAGAUAUCAGGAGGAACACCGGUGGCGAAGGCGGAUCUCUGGGCCAUUACUGACGCUGAGGAGCGAAAGCGUGGGGAGCGAACAGG